rnacentral:rRNA from 1 species
GACGUAGGGCGCGAGCGUUGUCCGGAUUUAUUGGGCGUAAAGAGCUCGUAGGCGGCUUGUUGCGUCGACUGUGAAAACCCGCGGCUCAACCGUGUGGUCUGCAGUCGAUACGGGCAGGCUAGAAUUCGGUAGGGGAGACUGGAGUUCCUGGUGUAGCGGUGAAAUGCGCAGAUAUCAGGAGGAACACCGGUGGCGAAGGCGGGUCUCUGGGCCGAUAUUGACGCUGAGGAGCGAAAGCGUGGGGAGCGAACAGG